CAGUCGUGAGGAAGGCGGCGCGUUAAUAGCGGCGUUGUUUGACGUUAGCGACAGAAGAAGCACCGGCUAACUCCGUGCCAGCAGCCGCGGUAAUACGGAGGGUGCGAGCGUUAAUCGGAAUUACUGGGCGUAAAGCGCAUGCAGGUGGUUUGUUAAGUCAGAUGUGAAAGCCCGGGGCUCAACCUCGGAAUUGCAUUUGAAACUGGCAGACUAGAGUACUGUAGAGGGGGGUAGGAAUUUCAGGUGUAGCGGUGAAAUGCGUAGAGAUCUGAAGGAAUACCGGUGGCGAAGGCGGCCCCCUGGACAGAUACUGACACUCAGAUGCGAAAGCGUGGGGAGCAAACAGGAUUAGAUACCCUGGUAG
rnacentral:rRNA from 1 species